CCUAUGGGAGGCUGCAGUGGGGAAUAUUGGACAAUGGGCGAAAGCCUGAUCCAGCCAUGCCGCGUGUGUGAAGAAGGCCUUCGGGUUGUAAAGCACUUUCAGUGGGGAAGAAAGCCUUGGGGCUAAUACCCUCGAGGAAGGACAUCACCCACAGAAGAAGCACCGGCUAACUCCGUGCCAGCAGCCGCGGUAAUACGGAGGGUGCGAGCGUUAAUCGGAAUUACUGGGCGUAAAGCGCGCGUAGGCGGUCUGAUAAGCCGGUUGUGAAAGCCCCGGGCUCAACCUGGGAACGGCAUCCGGAACUGUCAGGCUAGAGUGCAGGAGAGGAAGGUAGAAUUCCCGGUGUAGCGGUGAAAUGCGUAGAGAUCGGGAGGAAUACCAGUGGCGAAGGCGGCCUUCUGGACUGACACUGACGCUGAGGUGCGAAAGCGUGGGUAGCAAACAGGAUUAGAUACCCGAGUAGUC
rnacentral:rRNA from 1 species